rnacentral:rRNA from 1 species
CGAUAGCGUAUAUUAAAGUUGUUGCAGUUAAAAAGCUCGUAGUUGGAUUUCUGGCAGGAGCGUCCGGUCUCACACUCAGUGCGGGAACUUGGAUGUCUCUGGCCAUCUUUGGGGAUAUCCUGUUUGGCAUUAAGUUGUCGGGCAGGGGAUACCCAUCGUUUACUGUGAAAAAAUUAGAGUGUUUAAAGCAGGCUUAUGCCGUUGAAUAUAUUAGCAUGGAAUAAUAAGAUAGGACGUAGGUACUAUUUUGUUGGUUUGCGCACCCACGUAAUGAUUAAUAGAGACAGGCGGGGCUAUUCGUAUUGCAUUGUCAGAGGUGAAAUUCUUGGAUUUCUGCAAGACGAACUACUGCGAAAGCAUUUAGCAAGGAUGUUUUCAUUAA